rnacentral:tRNA from 1 species
GCGGAAGUAGUUCAGUGGUAGUACAUCACCUUGCCAUGGUGGGGGUCGCGGGUUCGAAUCCCGUCUUCCGCU